UACGAAGGGGGGCUAGCGUUGCUCGGAAUCACUGGGCGUAAAGGGUGCGUAGGCGGCGCGGUAAGUCGGGUGUGAAAAUCUCGGGGCUUUAACUCCGAAACUGCAUUCGAUACUGCCGUGCUUGAGGACUGGAGAGGAGACUGGAAUUUACGGUGUAGCGGUGAAAUGCGUAGAUAUCGUAAGGAAGACCAGUGGCGAAGGCGGGUCUCUGGACAGUUCCUGACGCUGAGGCACGAAGGCCGGGGGGAGCAAACAGG
rnacentral:rRNA from 1 species